rnacentral:rRNA from 1 species
CAGCAGCCACGGGAAUACAGAGGGUGCGAGCGUUAAUCGGAUUUACUGGGCGUAAAGCGUGCGUAGGCGGCUAAUUGAGUCGGAUGUGAAAUCCCCGAGCUUAACUUGGGAAUUGCAUUCGAUACUGGUUAGCUAGAGUGUGGGAGAGGAUGGUAGAAUUCCAGGUGUAGCGGUGAAAUGCGUAGAGAUCUGGAGGAAUACCGAUGGCGAAGGCAGCCAUCUGGCCUAACACUGACGCUGAGGUACGAAAGCAUGGGGAGCAAACAGGAUUAGAUACCCCAGUAGUCCCUGUCUCUCACAU